AACGACUAUAUUAGCAUCACCAUCAUUACAUGAUUCUUCAGCUGAUUGCCAGGAUGAGGAGUUUGUGGAAGAGGAAGUUUCUGUUGCACCCCUAGAUAAAUGCAGAAUUUAAGCGCAUUACCACCAUGCCCCUGCAAUCCAGAUUUCUGUCACAGCUGGAUGUACGAUCUGACAAACUUCUAAAGCUGUUCGAAAAACGAGGAGGACAGAUAGGCAAGCGUCUUGAGAGAACUUUGGCCCCCAUAACUCAAGUAAGAAUGAAUUUUUGGGAAAUAAAAUACUGAAUUUAUAGAGAAAUUUGAUAGAGGAAAAGGGAUUCCAAACAAAUGUCUUUCUCUUCUAAUCUACAUGACCUAGGACGAUGACAUUGAUGCAGGGCGGGAAUGUGUUCUCAAGUGGCUGUGUGUGUACCUCAACGAAGACCCAGCAAAUCUUGUCAGGGAGUUCGUGGCAGAGGACGAAGCCGCCAUCAAAGAAUCGAUUGAGGACACCACGGUGGGAAUAUUUGUUGUGAAAAAUGAUGCAACCAGUGGUCCAGAGGACGUGGGGAUUGUCCUGGAAGGCCUGCAGAUAAUUCAAGGACUGGACAACACUGCAUUAGCUGCUGCCAUAUUGUUUGGCCUAAUGUAUGUAUUGAACCUCAACUACCCUCCUGAGCUAAAGAACACGUUUGAAGUGCGCCAAAAAGUUGUGAUGGAGCUGGACGGCACCACGCUCUCAAAGAACAGACUAUGAGUGAGCUGUUGUCCUUGGAUCUUUUUGCUCAUUGACUUGAUUCUGGACUGUACACAUGCAACUUUGCGGUUCUUUGUUCUUGUUCUUGCAGUAUUUACAUACAGCAUGUCUCCUGUAUUAUCAAAUUAAUGUUUUCUCUGGAGCUCAUGCGUUCCCAAAAUGUGACUCGGAUUUGCUGUUUUCUCUUAAAGUAAUAGAGCUGCUGAAUGAGCAGUUGCCAUGGACUGUUUGCUCUGUGAAUGCACUUGUCUUUUGACAUGCACUCAUGCAGCUUUAGUUUUUCCUGUAUUCUUUUGGCAGUAUUUAGAUUCUUGGAAGAUUUACAUUUGUUGUAGUAUUAAUGAUGUUUGUCUAGGUCUACUCAUUGUUUGUUGUGAGGUGAUUCAUUCAAAACACUGGCAGUACUUUUUUAUUUUAUUAUUUAAUUAGAAUUUUAUGCAAAGUAAAAAAAAACAUAAUGCAACCUAACAUGUUGUUUUGGGAUUUCAGUGUUAAAAAUGUCUAGUGUUUUCCAAAAAUGUCCAAACUAUUGCUAUUUGAAGGUGGAGUCAGCGAUUAAGGGGAAUUCUUGUUGUCAAAAUCAGUGAAUAUCUCAUGAUCCACUACCUGUCCGUACUUAUGUGCUAUAAAUCCUUUGUUAGUGCUCAGCCUAGGCUCUGUAAACCAAGGACCUAUGGACAUGCAAUUUGUAGGCAGGACAAGCAUUCUCCAGAGUCAGCUCUAAGUUACACAUGCCUAACACUGGCUGUGCUCAGUGUUAAAUGUAGUAUUUGAAAGAAAUACAAUAGAAAGUUGGUUAUUUGUGCCUUAUUUAGUCUCAUACUUACUUGAACAGUAAGUAUGAGACUAAACAUUUAGUGUCAUACUUUUUCAACAUUUUUUUUACAUGUUUUGAAAGAUGAAUCACAUUAUUUUCUGUCCAUAUACUGUUAUAUUACAUCAAAUGUAAAUUAUUACAACCUUUUUCCAUUAAAAACCAGCUAAGAACAGCACAUUUCUGUCAAUUUAAGCAGUAUUAUUCGUAAUACAACAUUUAUUUACCAUAUUUCUAGGUAAUUUCAUCGUUUUAAAAUGUGAAUGUUUCUAAUUAAACAUUAAAAACAACAUGAAAAUAAGGCAAAAUCUUGUUAAAAUUACAACUUUAAACUGUAUUUUAAUUAUGGAAAUUAACCGUAUUUUUACGAGAAAGAAUUAUCUGUUAUUUCACAGUAUUUUUCUGGCACCCCAGCUGCCAGAAUAUUACCGUUUUUUUACGAUUUUU